CCUGCGAACCAGGCUCCCUGGUUUAAAUGUCACGUGUGUUUACCUUAGCGCUCUGGGCUGGCUUGUAAAUCUCCUUUUCCAGCGGUGGGAAUCAGCUUUUAGGCAACUUUCAAAUAUAGUUUCAUUGCGCGGGGAAAAGAUUCUGCCGUGACUUUUGUAACAUCCAGGUGGCUCCUGUACCUGUGCUGGCUCUUGCAAAUGCAAAAACUGCAGCUGCACCUCUUGCCAAAAGAGCUGUUGCUCCUGUUGCCCAGCUGGAUGCAAUAAUUGUGCCAAGGGCUGUGUCUGCAAAGAGCCAGCAUCCAAGAAA